AGCCAAUACCUGCAUAAGGAAACAGGAGGUUUAUAGAUUAGAUUAGUAUCUUGGGUUAGAAUUCGUAUUAUAUCCCUGGAAUUGGUCUAUAUCUCCAAAGGCUUGAGGUGAAAUUAGUCGGCCAACUCUGCUCCUUUAAGUAAGGAAAUAAUUUCCAUAUGGGUAGAGGUAAUUCCCAUCAAUUUGUAAUGGAAAUCAACUUUCGAGUUUCCCAGGUCGUCCCGAAUUGCCCCUCCGAUGCCUCCUAUGCGGUUUAAGGAGUCGAAGGAUCCGUCAAUAUUGAGUUUGAAAGUAUCUUUCAGAGGAGGUUCCACUUGACCUGGCUGGAUUAUAGUGGUUGGAGGAGGAGUGGAGGUGAAUUCGAUGGUGCAAGCUAUGUUUUAAGAGUUCUAAGGAUACCUUGGAGUUGAAAAGAAGAGGAAGAAAGUAAAAGAAGAAAAAGGUAGUCAAGUUUGCACUGAGCAUUGCGCAUCAAGUUUGAAGCAUAGUAAACUGACUUUCAGCUCUCCUAAAAUAGCAGCCGCUACCUUUUAAAUGCUCAUCAAGUUGGCGACACAAAAAGGACAUUCAUAAUAUUACCGAAUUGACUCAACAAAGGUCUAGAGUAUCUUCCAAAUUCACAGUUGCCUGAAAAAAGGAAUCAAUUGCACAAAUCGAUUCAACGAGCCCUCUCCUCUCCAAAAGCCCUAAUUGAGAAAUCAACCAAGAAUCAAGUAUUGUUCCUCAACCAAGCAUAUUAUUCACUUAAGUCUUUCUUUGGAGUGAACAAACAACAUUUCUUCUUGGUUAAAUACAAUCUUAAGGGACAACAUCUGCUUCAAGUAAGGAGCAAGAGAUAAUCCAGACAUUGUAUUAUGUUAAAGGACUCAAAUAAAGGAGUGACCGCUUUCUAGUCGUAGUUGGUACUGCCCCUGUUCACCUGAACAUGCAAGGAACACAUUCAAGAAGAAUCAAAGUUUUUCUCCUCUGCAAAGCUAUCAAUGCUUUAUUCAAGAUCUUUAGCAGUCGAUUGUUCAUUCUCCCUCCCAGUGGCUUUCUAAAGCUCAACAUGAAAGAAUAAAGAAAAUAGGAAAAAAGAGUACAGGGAUCCUACUUCUACCCUCUUUUAUGUUACUCUAUUGAUUGC